rnacentral:rRNA from 1 species
AUGCAGGUUCUAUUUUAUUGUUCCGAGACAUAUGAUGAUAGCAUUGAGAAUGAGAAAUCUUUGCAAAAUGCACGUAUUAUUAAGGAGUUCUGGAACGAUUACUACGCUAAGCUGUUGGAUAUUGACAAAACGAAAAAGAUUUCUAAUGUUGAUAUGUAUCAGGAUGAUGUUAGAAAGUUGUUGAUUAAUGAAAAGAAGAAUCAAAAUGGUGUGUUUUCCGAUACUGAAUUAAUAGAUUUACAGAAUCAAAUUGCAAAUUGCACAAUGAAGUUCGAUGAGGAUAAUCUAUUUAAAGUAACUCCUAACAUAGUAAAGUUCUUGAUUAAUAAAGAUCAGCCUAACGCUACGCAAUAUCUAAAGGGUUGCCUACCAAGUAGCUUACCUAUGCUUAAGAUGUUUGGUAUCUAUACGCUUGAGGCUAUCAUGAUUCAUGUACUAGGCUUGGUAUUCAACACUCUUCAGGAAUCAUCCGCAGUUAAGGCAGGUAGAUUUAUAGAUCAACUUAAUUCAACUGUACGAGAAAAAGCAAGGUUUCUACAAUACAAAGCACCAGGUAGUGGUAAGCUGGAAGCAGUACUCACUAGUAAGGUAGAAUCAGUUAAGGAUGUUGUUCAGCCCAAAGGUGCUAGCAAAAAAGAGAAAAAGAAAAAAUGCAGUGUCAUUAUGAUAUCGGGAAAUACUUGCGCCAAUUCAUGA